rnacentral:misc_RNA from 1 species
AAGUCGUAACAAGGUUUCCGUAGGUGAACCUGCGGAAGGAUCAUUAUUGAAAUAAACCUGAUGGGUUGUUGCUGGUUCUCUAGGGAGCAUGUGCACACUUGUCAUCUUUAUAUCUCCACCUGUGCACCUUUUGUAGAUCUGGAUAACUUUCUGAAUGCCUAGCAUUUGGGUUUGAAGAUUGACUUGACUUGAUUUGUCUGUCUGUCUUUACAUUUUCAGGUCUAUGUUUUUUCAUAUACCCCAUGUAUGUUAUAGAAUGUAAUUAAUGGACCUUUGUGCCCAUAAAUCUAUACAACUUUCAGCAAUGGAUCUCUUGGUUCUC